ACACACAGGCAGACAGACAGACAGAAGACACAGACAGACAGACAGACAGACAGACAUACACACAGGCAGACAGGCAGGCAGGCAGAGAGAGAGACAGACAGACAGACAGACAGUUGAUUACAUCACACUGUGGUGUCACAUGUUCAAGUGUUGUGUUCUGAUUGGUCGGUGGUGUGUCCUGAUUGGUCGUUGGUGUGUUGUGAUUGGUCGGUGGUGUGUUCUGAUUGGUCGUUGUGUCGUUGGUGUGUUCUGAUUGGUCGUUGUGUCGUUGGUGUGUUCUGAUUGGUCGGUGGUGUGUUCUGAUUGAUGGUUGUUAUAUUCUGAAUGGUCGUUGGUUUGUUCUGAUUGGUCGUUGUGUCGUUGGUUUGAUCUGAUUGAUCCUUGGUGUGUUUUGAUUGGUCAGUGUGUCGUUGGUUUGAUCUGAUUGAUCCUUGGUGUGUUAUGAUUGGUCGUUGUGUCGUUGGUGUGUUCUGAUUGGUCGUUGGUGUGUUCUGAUUGGUCAGAGGGUCUCUCACGUUGUUCCUGGGGUUCAGUGAACAUCUCUGCAGCAGAGUGGACGAGUCCAGAUCCGACUCUUCUCCUUUCACAUCUGGAGGCAGGAAGUACAAUUAUGACAUCAUCACAGACAUCUCCCUCUUUUUGAAUAGAACACCACCCUCCACAGAGCUCUGGCCCCGCCUCCUUCCACCUCAACCUGUCCAGGGGGCGAAGCCUCCCUGAGACCCUUCAGCUGGAGUAUGAGAGCCCGCCCCCUCCCCUGCAGAGGGGGGAGGAGUCUGUGAGCUCCUCCAUGUCUCCUCCUAACACACUCUGUCUUCUCCUCCUCCUCUUCAAGACCCGCCCCCUCGUUCUCUGGCCACUCUUCUCUCUCCUGUGUGAGGAGGGGCUUCUUCAUUGGCAGUUCAGGGUUAAUGUCAUCGAAGGAGCCCCACCCUUGUCUCUGAGUGACAGGUCACAGGUCGUUGUGAUGGGGUUCUGACCUGGACUUGGACCUGGACCUGGGCUCGUGUCUCUGGAUCAGACUCAGGUUGAACUGGUUCAGCAUCUCCUCUGAGACCUCCUCCUGCAGCUCCACCUCCACCUGCAGCUCCGCCUCCUCCUGGGUCGAGCUCCGUCGGAAGUCUUCCAGCUCGAUCCUCUCGGGCGUCGCCGCCGUCACAGAGAGCGCUGCAGCCACAGCAACGCAGCCGCACACACACACAGACACACACAGAGACACACACACUCUAAAGCCCACAGUGAUCCGAGUGUGAGGCCUGAACUCAACGUGAACCGGAACAAACUCUGAACGAGCGACGCUCACCUGACGAGCAACGGCGACCAGCUGACACCACUGAGUGGGAAGAGGGGAAGGAGAGGGCGGAGCCCAGAGAUGCCUGCAAACAUCACAAACACAUGGAGCCAUCUUUACAGAAACACACUGAUUUUCAUAUUAUCAAACAUAUUGAUUUUAGCUGAUGAGUCAGUUCAAACAUCUGAACAGUCACGACACACGUUUACUCAUCACACAGCAGUGACACGUGUGUGUGUGUGUGUGUGUGUGUGUGUGUGUGUGUGUGUGUGUGUGUGUGUGAUUUAAACAUAUUUACACCAACACCCGUUCACCUCCCUGCUCUCACCCACACUGACAGUAACAUACACACACUGACAGUAACACACACACUGUUUGCUUACCGUAGAGGUCCGAUGUGACGUUGCUCGGUCCGAUGCCGUUAGACGCCUCCUCCUCGCAGCGGCGGUGCUCAGACGACAGUCGUAGUGAUGGAGACAGUAAAACGUCCCUGAGACAGUGAACACAACACAAUGUUCACAGUCUGAGUCAUGUGACCUCUGAGCUCUGAUUGGCUGCUGAUAUCUCAUCUGUCCUGAAGCCCCAACACACACUACACUUAUUGUACACACACACACACACACACACACUCACCAUGCUGUGUUUUAAAUAUUAUUAGAUAUUUCUCAGCAAAAUAUUUAGUAAUACUGUCUUUUAUUGUGAUCAUUUUAUUAUGUUUGAUUAUGAUAUAAAUAAAUUGUGAUCACAUGA